rnacentral:rRNA from 1 species
AGCAGUAGCCGCGGUAAUACGUAGGGUGCGAGCGUUAAUCGGAAUUACUGGGCGUAAAGCGUGCGCAGGCGGUUAUAUAAGACAGAUGUGAAAUCCCCGGGCUCAACCUGGGACCUGCAUUUGUGACUGGCAAGCUAGAGUAUGGCAGAGGGGGGUGGAAUUCCGCGUGUAGCAGUGAAAUGCGUAGAUAUCAGGAGGAACACCGGUGGCGAAGGCGGGUCUCUGGGCCGAUAUUGACGCUGAGGAGCGAAAGCGUGGGGAGCAAACAGGAUUAGAGACCCCCGUAGUCCCUGUCUCUUAUAC